UACGUAGGGAGCAAGCGUUGUCCGGAAUCAUUGGGCGUAAAGCGCGUGUAGGUUGUUUGCUAAGUCGAUUGUGAAAUCCCUGGGCUCAACCCAGGAAGUGCAGUCGAAACUGGCUAGCUAGAAGAGGGUAGAGGAAGGUGGAAUUCCAAGUGUAGAGGUGAAAUUCGUAGAUAUUUGGAGGAAUACCUGUGGCGAAGGCGGCCUUCUGGACCUUUCUUGACACUGAGACGCGAAAGCGUGGGUAGCAAACAGG
rnacentral:rRNA from 1 species